UCCAACUCCUACGGGAGGCAGCAGUGAGGAAUAUUGGUCAAUGGACGAGAGUCUGAACCAGCCAAGUAGCGUGCAGGAAGACGGCCCUAUGGGUUGUAAACUGCUUUUAUAAGGGAAUAAAGUGAGUCUCGUGAGACUUUUUGCAUGUACCUUAUGAAUAAGGACCGGCUAAUUCCGUGC
rnacentral:rRNA from 1 species